CCCCCCCCCCCCCCCCCCCCCCCCCCCCCCCCCCCCCCCCCCCCCCAGCCCCGGCCAGAGCGGGGGGACCCCGGGGGGGCAGGGCAGGGCUGGGGCAGCGCCGCGCCCCGAAUUCGGGAACGGGGGGGAACGGGGGGGCUGCACCCCAAAAUGGGCCUGGGACCCCAAAACUCGAGAUUGACACCCUGAAAUUUGGGACUAGCACGGAAAUGGGGGCUGGCACCCCAAAACAGGGACUGGCACCCCGAAAUGCGGGGCUGGCACCCCAAAUACAGGACAGCACCAGAAUGGGGGGGGCUGGCACCCCGAAAUGGGGGGCACUGGUACCCCGAAAUGGGGGCUGCACCCCGAAAUGUGGAACUGACACCCCAAAUUCAGACCUGGCACGGAAAUGUGGAACUGACACCCCAAAUUCAGACCUGGCACGGAAAUGUGGGCCUCACACCCCAAAAUUCGGGACUGACACCCUGAAAUUCAGGCAUGACACCCUAAUUCAGCACCGACAGCCCAAAAUUCCAGACUGGCACCCCAAAUUCGGGUCUGACACCCCAAAAUUGGGGCCUGAUACCUCAAAAUGUGGGACUGACACCUCAAAUUCUGGGCCUGAUACCCCAAAAUUCAGGCCUGACACCCAAAAAUUUGGCGUUGACACCUCAAAAUUCGGGCCUGGCACCCAAAUUCGGGCCUGACACCCCAAAAUGUGGGACUGAAACCCCAAAUUCAGGCCUCACACCCCAAAUUCUGAGCCUGACACCUCAAAUUCAGGGAUUUGUGCCCAUACUUCAGGAUCUCAGCCUCAAAUUUGAAGUGUUCAGCGGGAAAUUUGCAAUUUUCGGUCUGAAAUGAAUUUUUUUCAGCACCAACAUUGGUUUGAGCUGCAAAAUUGGCAUUUUUAGGCCUUAAAAUACUCAGAGCUUUUCAGCACCAACAUUGGUUUGAGCUGCAAAAUUGGCAUUUUUAGGCCUUAAAAUAUUCAGAGCAUAACAAGAAAAAUGCAUUGCCAGCCUCAAAAAUCGAGGUUUCGGGGAAGAAAAUAAAGGAUUUCCAGUCUAAAAUUUGACAGCUUCAGCCCAGAAUCAGGGUUUCCAGCACUAAGUUUGAACCUCUCAAGUAAAAAUUAUGCAUUUUUGGCCUCAAGUUCACAUUCUUCAGCAGCAAAAUGAAGAUUUUGAGCCCCAAAUUGAACAUUUUUAGGCCUCAAUGUACCAAAAAGAGCAAUUCUGAGGGAAAAACGGAGUUGGGAGCCCCAAAUGUUGAAGUUUGAGGGUAAAAUUCACAAUUUUCAACCUAAAAUCAAAGAUUUUCAGAUUGAAGUUCAGGAGCUUCAGCC
rnacentral:lncRNA from 12 species